rnacentral:rRNA from 1 species
CCUACGGGAGGCAGCAGUAAGGAAUAUUGGUCAAUGGACGGAAGUCUGAACCAGCCAUGCCGCGUGCAGGAUGACGGCCCUCUGGGUUGUAAACUGCUUUUAUAGGGGACGAAAAAAGGGGAUUCUUCCUCACUUGACGGUACCCUAGGAAUAAGCACCGGCUAACUCCGUGCCAGCAGCCGCGGUAAUACGGAGGGUGCAAGCGUUAUCCGGAUUUACUGGGUUUAAAGGGUGCGUAGGUGGGUCGGUAAGUCAGCGGUGAAAUCUUCGAGCUUAACUCGGAAACUGCCAUUGAUACUAUCGAUCUUGAAUCGUCUAGAGGUAAGCGGAAUAUGUCAUGUAGCGGUGAAAUGCUUAGAUAUGACAUAGAACACCAAUUGCGAAGGCAGCUUACUAUGGAUGUAUUGACACUGAGGCACGAAAGCGUGGGGAUCAAACAGGAUUAGAUACCCUGGUAGUCCACGCCCUAAACGAUGGAUACUCGACAUUUGAGAUAUACUUUAAGUGUCUGAGCGAAAGCAUUAAGUAUCCACCUGGAAGUACGAUCGCAAGAUUGAAACUCAAAGGAAUUGACGGNUGAGAGNGACGACGACGACGACGAGGAGGAGG